rnacentral:rRNA from 1 species
GAUGAACGCUGGCGGUAUGCUUAACACAUGCAAGUCGAACGGAAUCUUUAGGGAUUUAGUGGCGGACGGGUGAGUAACGCGUAAGAAUCUACCUUCAGGUUGGGGACAACCACUGGAAACGGUGGCUAAUACCCAAUGUGCCGAGAGGUGAAAGGCUUGCUGCCUGAAGAAGAGCUUGCGUCUGAUUAGCUAGUAGGUGAGGUAAGAGCUUACCUAGGCGACGAUCAGUAGCUGGUCUGAGAGGAUGAUCAGCCACACUGGGACUGAGACACGGCCCAGACUCCUACGGGAGGCAGCAGUGGGGAAUUUUCCGCAAUGGGCGAAAGCCUGACGGAGCAAUACCGCGUGAGGGAGGAAGGCUCUUGGGUUGUAAACCUCUUUUCUCAGGGAA